GGCAGUGUAAGUUUUCUAAAAAAGUGUUCUAUCAAUAAGCUGAAUGAAAACCAUGAGCUUGUCAAGUUUAUUAUUACACUUUUCUUGUAGGCUGAAAGGUAGAACUGAAACUUCUAGCAUAAAAUGUAUUCUCGCCACGCUUUUCACCAAACGAGUCGGAGUCAUCAGGAUAUGAAUUAUACUGGUACAGUAAAUGUAGUGGAGUAUAGUUUGUAUUGGAAUUUGUUUAAACACAUGUCAUUUUGUGGAAUGAAACUGCUGAAGUAUUAUCUGCACAUAUAUAGUCAAGGUUAUAUAUUGCAAUGCUUUCUCCAAAUAUCAGCUGUUGCCGAUUCGACACUGUUGCUUACGUUUGACAAAGCCCUUCAUCAGAGCCCUGAACUGUUUUUCAUAAUCAUUUCAAUUUUGCCAGCAGAAAACAUUCACAAAUUACACAUGCGCGUAGAUUUGCUGCAACCUUUCUAUUUUACUCAAUAGGAUAGUGCGAUACUCCAUGAAAUCCUUAUUUUGAUAGCGGGGUGGAGUCGAUUCUCAAACAGAAAUUCUGUCGAGAUUGGCAUAUGGAAUCAUAGUCUGGGGACAAUCACCGCUGCCAAACGUCUCUUCAUUAGACAGAAAAAGUGCAUUCGUGCCAUGUUUCGCAAACCUCAAACAUAAUCUAGAAAACAUCUCUUUAGAAAGCCACAAGUAUUACUGCUUAUUUCUCAUUACAUAUUGGAAACUGCUUGUUACAUUUACAAACGUAGAAAUACUUUGCUCUGUUGUAAAGACAUUCACGGUCGUUUCACCAGAAAUCAGCAUUUGCUGUAUACUCCUCUGAAUAGAUUGAACCUAGCUCAAAACGGUCCUCUAAGCAUCGGAAUUCCAAUUUUUAAUAAAAUUUCUCAAAAUAUCACUAAUGAAGCUACCUAUUUGAUUCAAGAAGUCACUGAAAAAAGUUAGUAAUUGAAGGUGCAAUCUAUACUUUGGAAGAAUUUUUUUAGUAUAUAAAUCACUGAUAUUGUAUUCUGUCGUACUCUGGGUAAUUGUAUAUUUUACGUUAAUAUUUAUAUUGUAGUGUACUCUCUCUGUACUUGUACUUAUCAUUUUAACUUUUUAUUCAGUAAUUUUGCUCUUUGUCUCUAUACUACAAAUUUUUGACAAGUCGUAUUGGUUUUCAGAUGAAUAAAUUUGAUUGACUGAUUGAAAACGAUCCAAUCAUUUCAUGAGAAUAUUACUUUACAAAACUACAACACAUAUUCACUGGAUAUGUGUUUCGUCAGGUGAUUUUAGAUUGAAAAUACUAUACAUUUUUCAACGGUAGUACCAGAGUUACAUAUUUUCGUUUAAAUAUCAUAUAUCAAUGAUGGAAAAAAAAGGUUUUGACUUUCUACUUCUACAUCUUUAUACAAAAAAAUGUGGGAAUCUUUCAAA
rnacentral:lncRNA from 1 species